AAUUCAAUGGAAAACUCAAUUUAACAUCAAAUUUAGAUUUCUUGUUUCCACCGAAAAGAAGUGGUCUUAAUUGUAUGGGUAAGGGUAAUAUAGAAAUAGAAACUGUUUAAAUUGUUUUUUUUUUUUUUUUGAGAAGCAACUGUUUAAAUUGUUGAUAUAUAUAUCGAUGAAAAUUUGAAAGAGAUGUGUGACGGAGACAAGGGGAGAUAUGGUAGCAGAGUUGGUGGAUCUUCCAAGGACAGAUCAAGUCUAAUCAUCCAAGUCAAGCCAAAGCCCUGCUUGAAAAAUCUUUGGCUUUGCUUUACAAGUUUACAUUAAUUACAUUUAAUCAUUUACUCUCUCUGUCUCUCUCCCCCCAUCUCUAUUGCCUCGUGGUCGCGGGUUAUUGUAAUCGGCUUUUAUGAAUGAAUUGACAUGCUCAUCUAACUUAUCCAUCUAUCUAUCCUAACUUUAAGACUUGAGAUCGAGAUACACACACACACACACACACAAAACAAAGAGAGACUCAGAAUCAGAAAGAAAUGUAGAGGAUAGAAUGAGUGAUUACAGAGAAAAAACUGAAAGCUUUUAUUAAAAGCCUCAAGCAAUCUAUUAAAAAAACACAUUGGCAGAGUGAUUGGAUUGGGUCAAUAACUUUACAGUCUAUACAGAUAGACCCCCGGAAUUUAAGGGGAAAAAUUUCGGGGAAAAAAAAAAGAAAGAAAGAAAGAAAGAUCAAUUCCCAAUGGGAAAAUUGAAAGGGACAGCUGCCUCGUGGCUGACAGCUAUAUUUAUGGAUGCAUCACUCCUGCGUUUCAGAACUUUGACUUCAACACCGCACGUGGUCCUCCCUAAAUUCAUUUUACUGACACUUCUAACACAUGUACUUACUUUAUGUGGGUUUGUUGUAGCUAAGUCGAAGCCAGAACUCAAGGCCACUCACCACUCGCUGCCUUUUUGUGUGAUGCUAAAGGCAGAUGAAUCAUGUCCUUGCUCACACCCUUAUGGUAAAUUUAUUUAUACAUUAAAGACCGGUAUUGGCCAAUAAGCUUUUGAUCUAGCAGUGAACCUCUGUUAUCAUAAUUAAGCAUAGUUAAACAUGAUUGUGAGUGUAGGAGUUCGAUUCCUUAUACAUUCAAACUUUUAUAAUUAAGUAUUAUGCAUAUUUAUAUGGAGUUAUUUAUAAGUUAAAUACUUUAUAACAUUUAAUAUGAUAUUGUAAGUUUCAGUUAUAUGUUUAAUUAGUCAAGUACUUCAUAGCAUUUAAUAUGAUAUUGUAAGUCCCAAUUAUAUGUGUGAUUAGUCAAAUACUUCAUAGUAUUUAAUAUGAUAUUGUAAGUCUCAGUUAUAUGUCUGAUUGUAAAUAGCAGUGUGAUGUCUACUGUAAUAACAAUUGUAAAUAUCUGAUAUUCAGUGCUUUGUACACGAAACAUCAUAAAUAUUACAUGUAUUAUUCUACCCAUCACAUUAGAUUUUGUUGAUUUCUAUUUUGAAUGCAACUUAUAAACCAUAACACAAUGUAAAAAGGAGUAAAAGAGUAGUGGAUGCAAGUGGUCAGUGACUAUAAUUUAUCUAAUUGUCAAUUACAUUAAAUAUAAUUUAGGAAAAAACUUAUAUCAAUAGCAAUAUCUCAAAACAAUAGAGAAUACAUAGUUGAUUUUAGUGGUAAAGUUGGACUCAAUAUUAGAUUCGACUAAACUGAAGGAUUAUAAAUAAUUAAUUAUUUUUUAGGGAAGAUUAGAUAAAAA
rnacentral:lncRNA from 1 species